AUGCUCACUUUGGUGGCACAUAUGCUAAAAUUGGAACAACACAGAGAAGAUUAGCGUGGCCCCUGAGCAGAAUGACAUGCAAAUUUAUGAAGCAUUUCACAUUUUC